rnacentral:rRNA from 1 species
GACGAACGCUGGCGGCGUGCUUAACACAUGCAAGUCGAGCGGUAAGGCCCUUUCGGGGGUACACGAGCGGCGAACGGGUGAGUAACACGUGGGUGACCUGCCCUCAGCUCUGGGAUAAGCCUGGGAAACUGGGUCUAAUACCGGGAUAUGACUCCAUCGACGCAUGUUGUGGGGUGGAAAGCCUUGUGCGGCUGAGGAUGGGGCCCGCGGCCUAUCAGCUUGUUGGUGGGGUGANGGCCUACCAAGGCGACGACGGGUAGCCGGCCUGAGAGGGCGACCGGCCACACUGGGACUGAGACACGGCCCAGACUCCUACGGGAGGCAGCAGUGGGGAAUCUUGCGCAAUGGGCGAAAGCCUGACGC